rnacentral:sRNA from 1 species
CGUGACUAAUAAUCCAUAUGACACAGAGUUUUAACAUUGUUUUGUGUUCCACUGUCAAAACACCAAAGAACCAAAAGCAAAAGGAUUCUUUCUCCUCUCCUCCCUGCCAUCUCACAAACAUUUUACCAGGUGAAAUCCACUCUUAUAAACCCUAUGUAUGUGUAUAAAUAAUUAUAAAAUAGAUUUUAUUGGAGCUGUUACUGAACUCUAGAACUCUGUGUAACACAGUUUGAAAAGCUGCUCUUCUGUGUAUUAUAGAAAAGUUUAAACAAUUCUAGGAUGCAUUUAUAAAAUAAUAGACACCUAAUUUAGAAUCAUAGUUCUGAGUAUUAUCAGACCUUCGUUGUUUGUGGGAUAAGAAAAUUAUUUUGUUGACUCAUUCAGUAGGGGAAAAAACAGGGAUAGAGAGAACUAGACUGUAACAUAGACAUUAUAAUCAAUUUUAUUUUCUGAGUAAAGGUAAAAUAGGAAGCUGUGGUAGUAGUGAAUUUUAUGUUGACAUUGAUUCCUUGGCUACAUAUUUAUCAGUAUUUCUGAAUUUCCUCUUAGUGUAAUCGCUCAAAUUCCUCUUCUCCUGUUGACAAACUUAAUCAGCAGCCUCGUCUAACCAAACUGACACGAAUGCGCACUGAUAAGAAGAGUGAAUUUUUGAAAGCAUUGAAAAGAGACAGAGUAGAAGAGGAACAUGAAGAUGAAAGCCGUGCUGGCUCAGAGAAGGAUGACGACUCAUUUAAUUUACAUAACAGCAAUAGUACUCACCAAGAAAGGGAUAUAAACCGAAACUUCGAUGAAAAUGAAAUUCCUCAAGAGAAUGGCAAUGCCUCAGUGAUUUCCCAGCAGAUCAUUCGGUCUUCAACCUUCCCACAAACUGAUGUUCUUUCAAGUUCACUUGAGGCAGAACACAGAUUGUUAAAGGAAAUGGGCUGGCAGGAAGACAGUGAAAAUGAUGAAACAUGUGCUCCCU